AUAAGUCUACAAAAUCCUAUUCUCUAUGUGUAGGGGGGGGGGGGACUGCAGUUGCCAUGGAAACGUGACGCUCUUCAUGUGAUUUCCUCCUCCUGUGUUCACACGUACGCAGAUGUAAAACUGUAAACUUUGUGGCAUGAAGGUGGACAGAAGACUUUCAGUGAGAGACAUUCAUGUUUUUCUCCAAAAUCUCAUGGUGGGAUUCCAGAGAAACGCCGUCCGGUUCUCCUGUCUACAUGGAACCGUGUCAGAGAUCAGAUGCUGAGGACUGCAUGUUCUGUCCUUCAUGGCCAACGGAGUAGAAAGUCCAGAGGAUCUCACAGAUAAUCCAAAGGAUUUCUCAGCGAACCAAAAACUGAUCUGUGCUCAAAAGAGCUCCACUUCUUUAAGAGUCUUACAAAAAUGCCCGUUCAAAUGUGGAUCUAGAUGGUGACUGAAAAGGCACCCAAAAAAAGGAGGACGAGUGGGAAAACGAGCCCGUUCCCAUCAUCCGCUUCCAAAUGGACGGACGCGACAGCAGAACAACCUAUUUUCUUUGGAAAGCCGCUCUCAAAGUCAGACUUCAGGCUCAUAAAGGGCCCCUUUUCCCCCACAAACCUGUUUCUUUUGGGUUAGUUAGGUGAGCUAGAGUAAACGCGCCGUGGAGGAAAACAACCUGUGCAGCGGCCGCCUCACUCACAUCUCCGCUUUUUCCAGCAGGACUCAAAGGAUUGAGAGGAAUCCUUUGUUCUCGCCCUCGUGACACAAACGGCGAGUCAACAGGCCCUCAGCAAACGCAGCAGAAAAACAAGACGGCGAGUCGCCGCGUCUGAGGGACGGCGUGAAGGAAAUCUCUGCUGCUCGUUUAAGAAAUAGGUUUUCUUCUGAAGCAACUGUUGGGGUUUGUAAACGACCUACAAUGUCUUUAUUUUCAUCAGGAAAAUUGGAUUUUUUUUUCAUAUUUUCCCGGUCUGGGGACAAAGGCAGUUCUUCUUUGGACUAAACUGCCUCCCUGUUUGCAGUAAAAAGUGUCGCUUUGCUCUUUUGUUGUUUGGAGGCGUGGUUUCCAUGCAGUCUGUCCGUCAUCAUCGCGUCAGAUUCUCAAACCCAGAAGGUGUGAGAGUGAAGAGUUAAAAAGAUCAUCUGACACAUUUACUGAACAAUUCAGGAGAAACGUCUUUGUUUCUGAGGCCUCUGCUUGCAGCAGAACAUACAUGAACUCAUUAAUUACAUCUAUUGCUUUUGACGCGGAUGUUUAAAGACAUUUUGAUUGAUUUUUACAUUUUAAAUUGAAUCUUUUGAAAUCUGUCUUCUAUCAAACUGCUUUCCUAUUUUUUCUUUGUCCAGUGAACACUUUUAUUUUCAAAUUGGGAGAGAUUUCAAAUAAUUUUCUGUCAUUAACUUCACUUUCAAAUCUUUGAGUAAGUCAAAAAAUCUCACCAGAAAACUUUUAUACUUUGAUAAAAACGCAAUGACAAAGUUUCAGAUUUGUGUUUCUUUCUAUCCAGUUUUUGCUCUCAGACACCUGACGUUCAUGCCCCGCCCCCAUCCACCUGAGACGUCCCGAUACAAAGAGCCGUUGUCAUGCAGAACUAAAGUCACCUGACCCCCCCCCCCCCACCAGCAGAAAUGAGUCUCUCUGAGCUCCACCCAAAACCCCCGACUGCUUUGUCUGUUCGAUCUUCUUUUACUUUGAAGUAAACGAUGGAAUCAGUGAGGUUUUCAAAAUAAAAGCGUGAUCCAUGUGCUCCAAUGUGGUUUGGUUGGUUUCUCUGAGCUGCAAUAGAAAAUGUGUCUCUAAUUUGGAGUAAAUGUACUUUUUGCUGUUGAUUUCUGGGUUUUUGUUCUGGUGAAUACAGGAAUCACUGCUUUCAUCUGAGCGUGUUUCAAGGUUUUAUUGUCAUAAACAGCUUUAGUGUGAUAACAUGUGAUUAAAAAAAAGUUUUUUAUUUUCAUGAAACAUCAAAGAUUUAUAGACAUUUUUGGGUUUAUAUGAAGUUUCUUCUGAUGGGGAAUCACUAAAUGAGAAUCUGAAGAACAAAGUGGAUCCAAAACAUGGUUUGUGUGGAAGCCUGGAGGGGCCAUGCCAGUGAUUUCUAAGCUUCAUGAACAGCAGAAGCUCCUUUUUAUGCUAAAAGUUUAUUCAUGGUUGGAGAAUUCUGCUUUUGAAUGUAAUUUUUUUCAGCUGACGUGUUCUGAAAGGUUCUGGGCUUUUCUGUGAAAACGUGGAGACAGAAAAAGUUUAGGACUAUGAACCGACGGCUAAUUUCAGCUCAAUUACCCCAAAUGUUCCCACCCCCAGGUGAAGAUGUUCUUACAUUUGACCUUCAGCCAGAAACCGAGCAAAACCGCAAAACUCUCAGCUUGCGAGACUCCUGGUAUAAGAGAAUCUGCUUCCACCUGUGCUUUUCUUUGUCUCGUUGUUUUUCCUUGUUUUUUCCAGGUCUCCCCUCCUCCUCUUCAUCAUCUUCUUCCUGUCCUUCCUCGCACUAAACUGCAGACUCUCCCUCCACGUCGAGGCCAGACAGCAGCACAAUCCCUCCUUCUUGUCAGGAGAUCAGCACUCGUCUGGGGGUUGCCAAACUGGCCCAGAGUCCCACCACCUCCUCCUCCUCUUCCUCCCCAGUUCUCUAGUCUGUCCAUGAAAAGUCCUCUACAGGUGUGACCGACGUGGAAACCAGAGCAAACGUUCCCGGAGGAUCCGAACUGGAACGUGGAGGAAGAGCAGAAGCCGGAGCAGCAUUGUGCUCUCUGAGCGGCAGGAAGUCCUGCGACCAAACAAUGAGUAGAAGCUGUGGAUCCAGGAAGAGCUCUUCCAGACUUUCAGGCCUUUGCAGCGGAUGGAAACGUUUUGUCACGGAGCACAACCAGAAGGCCGAGCUCUGCCCAGCCGUGCACGGCCGGAUGUGGAGGACAAACUCCACCCCCUCUGCUCCCCUGAAGGAGCCUUUCUGCAGGCGGUCACCGCCUGAGAAGAUUAACCUUUCUGCAGGAGGCGUCUGCGCCGGCUCUCAGCAACAGCUGCCGGGAUCAGGAGAACAGAACCGGGAUCAGGACAACAGAACCAGGAUCAGGAGAACAGAACCGGGAUCAGGAGAACAGAACCGGGAACAGGAGAACAGAACCGGGCCAGAAGGUUUUUCCUGAAAACAGAAACAAAAACAACAACCAGAUGCUUCCGAUAAAGGUCAUCGCCGCGGAGCUGGAAGAAGGCACGAGUCGCAGCCGGGGAAACGUCUUUGGACGCUGAAACAUCGUUUCCACACAGUCAGGGGUCAGAGGUCAAGCUAACACGCCGGACUCUGGGCAUUCCUCCACGAAGCAGCGGGCGGGAGACCAGGAAGCUUCCAGCUGUGUUUUCAUGCUGUUUCAGGUUGUUUUCUCCUGCAUUUGUGUGAUAAAGUCGUUCCCUCUUUGUUCUGUUGUUGAUGAACCUGCAGUCACUGUGGAGGACUUGACCUCAUCUCCUCACAGGCCUUUGCAUUUACUGCCAAAUGACCAACAGAGGUCACUGAACUGACUCUCUGAUGGAUUCAUAUCAACACUGGAAGCUUCAGCUUCCAUUUGUUCUUCUGCAGAACCAAAGACUUUCUGUAAAAAAAGAACUGCUCUGCUAAAAUCCCAGCAUCCUCACUGUGAAACACAGCGGUGGUAGCAUCAUGAUGCCGGGCUGACUUGUUGAGUCACAAAAACCGACACCUCAACGAGGAAGAAAAGCCGUGUGAAGACGUUGAAGAUAAAAGCAGAACUUCAGGACUUUGAUGAGACUUUCAUCGGUUCUGACAUCCUGACGAGGAUGUUGUGAAAAUAAAAGUAAAGGUGCUUCUG